rnacentral:rRNA from 1 species
AUGCAUCGCCUUAGUUACCACGACGCUAGCAUACUGGUUGACCAUACAGAGGACUUGCUGCUAUCGCUGCUUGAACAAAUGAGGUGGCCAAAAUUCCAUAACUGGUGUCUGCAUUUAUCAACCAGUAAAUACCUAAUUGUUGUCUUUUUGUUUUCAUGCUUUUUGUGUUUUUUGCUCGAUGUUCCGUUAUCGACUCAUAGUGGAACCCGAUCCGUUUUGGAUCGAAUGGAAAAAAGAAAUAGUGAAAUACCUAAUUGUAGUGCACUUGUAAAGACAUGGACAAUGUGUAAUGACUAUCACACUUAA